rnacentral:rRNA from 1 species
GAUGAACGCUGACAGAAUGCUUAACACAUGCAAGUCUUUGGCGAGGCUGUGCUUGCACAGCCUAGCCAAGGCGGACGGGUGAGUAACGCGUAAGGAACUUGCCCUGCAGUCAGGGAUAACAGACGGAAACGACUGAUAAGACCUGGUAAAGUCAGGCGGACUCAUGUCCAGCCUGAUGAAAAGAGAUGCUGCAGGAGAGCCUUGCGUCCUAUUAGCUUGUUGGUGGGGUAACGGCCCACCAAGGCGAUGAUAGGUAGCCGGCCUGAGAGGGUGGACGGCCACAAGGGGACUGAGAUACGGCCCUUACUCCUACGGGAGGCGGCAGUGGGGAAUAUUGGACAAUGGGGGCAACCCUGAUCCAGCAAUUCUGUGUGCACGAUGAAGGUUUUCGGAUUGUAAAGUGCUUUCAGCAGGGAAGAAAAAAAUGACGGUACCUGCAGAAGAAGCGACGGCUAAAUACGUG